GUUUGAUCCUGGCUCAGGACGAACGCUGGCGGCGUGCUUAACACAUGCAAGUCGAGGGCACUUUGGGGGCAACUCUGGAGUGACCGGCGAACGGGUGCGUAACACGUGAGCGACCUUGCCUCGUGGUGGGGGAUAGCCGGCCCAACGGCCGGGUAAUACCGCAUAGGGUAGUUUCUUCGCAUGGGGAGACUAGCAAAGCCUUGGAGCAAUCCAAUGGCGCCACAGGGGGGGCUCGCGGCCUAUCAGCUAGUUGGGGGGGUAAUGGCCCACCAAGGCGACGACGGGUAGCUGGUCUGAGAGGAUGGCCAGCCACAUUGGGACUGAGAGACGGCCCAGACUCCUACGGGAGGCAGCAGUGGGGAAUCUUGCGCAAUGGCCGAAAGGCUGACGCAGCGACGCCGCGUGGGGGAGGAAGGCCUUCGGGUUGUAAACCCCUGUUGCCCGGGACGAAUGUGCAUUUUUGAAUGCAUUGACGGUACCGGGUGAGGAAGCACCGGCUAACUCCGUGCCAGCAGCCGCGGUAAUACGGAGGGUGCAAGCGUUGUCCGGAAUCACUGGGCGUAAAGGGCGCGUAGGCGGCUCAUAAAGGCUGUGGUGAAAGUUCGGGGCUCAACCUCGAAUCGGCCGUGGCGACUUGUGGGCUGGAGCACUGUAGAGGCAGGUGGAAUUCCGGGUGUAGCGGUGGAAUGCGUAGAGAUCCGGAAGAACACCAGUGGCGAAGGCGGCCUGCUGGGCAGUGGCUGACGCUGAGGCGCGACAGCGUGGGGAGCAAACAGGAUUAGAUACCCUGGUAGUCCACGCCGUAAACGAU
rnacentral:rRNA from 1 species